UCUCAUGAACCCUAAUCUAAUAUCUGAUAUCCCAUUCAUAACAAAAAGAAGAACACACCUAAAAAAUAAAAUUAUUCUUUAUUAUUAUAUACCAAUCUACCAAUAAAAUACAUCCUCACCCCUAAUCUCCUCUCCGAACAGCAGCAGCAGCUUAUCUUCACCUUCUCCCUCCCUUGCAGCCGUGCUCUGUCUCCAUCGUUCUUCACGCUUCACGCAGUAGCAGCACGCACGAGCAGCCGCCUUAUCGUUCUCCACGCAUCAACAGCCCUGUGUCGCCCUCCGUGCAGUGCAGCCAUCGUGUUGUCCUCCACGUAGCAGCAACCCCGUAUCGCUCUCCGUGCCUUCCUCCACUCCUCCCUGCAGUUGCCACUCUCUGUGUAACAUGGUAGUUUCCAAAGGUUUGGAAAACAGGUGGUGAAGAUCCAUCAUUCAUGGUCAAGGUUGACUCCCAGAACUUAGAAAAUAUGUUGGGAUUUUCUGAAGCUAACUUGUCAAGCAAAUCCAAUUCUUUCAUGACAUGUUUUAUUCGUUGUUUUAAGUGAAAAUGUAUUCCUUCUGGAAGAUAAACAUUGUAGAUACAACUUUCUUUUGCUAUUUCCUUUGACUUUUUGAGUCAAAUGUAAGAUACUAUCCCAUAUGAAUUUUUAUGUUUGUAUAUUGUUGAAGGGUUAGAAGAGAAGAAGCACGUUUAGAUUUU